ensembl:snoRNA
AGCACUUGUGUUUUUUUUUGUUGUUUAAUCUGUGGACAAAGACAGGUGAGAAAAGAAAUCCUCUUCUGCAGCCCAGAACUCUUUGUUUAGUAUGAGUUUUGAGACAGAUAAGAAGGAUCAUG